rnacentral:lncRNA from 1 species
GCCACCCAUUUUCAGGUACCUGACAUCUGACUAUUUUAGUCCAGGCUGGGACAUUCCAGAUCUUCACAACUUAUUUUCCAUACUUCUGGUAUCUGUGUAGAAAGAGGUGCACCAUAGACAUUGUUUGCUUCUGGACACUUUAUGUUAAUGACCAUCAGUCUUGCAUCUUCUGCUUGACAGUUUGAACACGCUGACCUUUCCUUUUCUGGAGGACACAGUGGUGUUGAAGUCACAUUGAAUGGCAAUAUCACCCCAAACUGCUCUGUAGCCUGUGUCACCUCCCCUUUGCUCGUUUUCAGAGUGACUUAAAACCAUCAGCCCCUGCCAGCUUGCUCUCCCUCAUUUGAAAGUCAUGUCCAGCAGCUUGACUCGGGUAUCAGCAGGCAGGUUGCACCUAUGAAAUGAUGUGUGGAUUAGUGCAAUCAACAUGUUUUCAGGGUGAAACCAUUUCCUGACCAAACCGCCUCAGGCCGAAAACCGGACAGCACAGAGCUCACCUUCAGUGCUGCUGCCUGCUUUCAAAUCAGCCUGGUUUAACAGCCCACCAGGUAUGACAGCUUCUCAGCAUUUCAGUAAUCCCAGCAGUAAUGCACAAGUAGGUGAGAAAAGGAGGUUACCAGACAGAACAGAGCAGGUACCAACUGCAGUUGGGAUGAAGAUUCAGGAUGGCUUCCUCAUAUCUCUAAAACUGCUUACUUUAUAGAGCACAGGAAAUGGCAACAAAAACCUCAACUUGCUUUUCAGAUCCUAGUUGUCACACAGACAACAUCAACUUCAAAGGCAGCAGAGAGGGUACAAGCCGUUCCUCCAGAACACGUGUUGCUGUAUUUGUUGCUUUGAUAAUCCUACUGGCCUUAGCAGUGUGCCUGAUUGUCCUAAGUAAGUCUUGCUAAAAAUGUAAUAACUGUAAUUACUUUGUGACUCUCUCCCAGUGAUGGACAUCUAAGUCAUGACAUCCAAAACCAGUAGCAACAGAA